GAGAGUGGCCCGACGGCAAUGAAGACUGCUAAUCUUCACCCCCUUGGUUGAACCCCAAGGCUCCCUCG
rnacentral:tRNA from 2 species